CCUACGGGUGGCAGCAGUGGGGAAUAUUGCACAAUGGGGGAAACCCUGAUGCAGCGACGCCGCGUGAGUGAAGAAGUAAUUCGUUAUGUAAAGCUCUAUCAGCAGGGAAGAAAAUGACGGUACCUGAGUAAGACGCCCCGGCUAACUACGUUCCAGCAGCCGCGGUAAUACGUAGGGGGCAACCGUUAUCCGGAUUUACUGGGUGGAAAGGGAGCGUAGACGGCAGUGCAAGUCUGGAGUGAAAGGCGGGGGCUCAACCCCCGGACUGCUCUGGAAACUGUACGGCUGGAGUGCAGGAGAGGUAAGUGGAAUUCCUAGUGUAGCGGUGAAAUGCGUAGAUAUUAGGAGGAACACCAGUGGCGAAGGCGGCUUACUGGACUGUAACUGACGUUGAGGCUCGAAAGCGUGGGGAGCAAACAGGAUUAGAUACCCUUGUAGUC
rnacentral:rRNA from 1 species